CCUGGACAAGGCUAACCUGACCUCCCUCGACCAAUUGGAGGGCAAGCAGUGGACACGUGCACAGUCGGCCUUUCUGGUCAGAAAUAUCCUCGGCAAGAAGAUGACACUUCCAGACAUGCGGAAGCUGGGCUCGGCGAUGCAGGGCGUGGCCUGUGAGAUGAUUGAAAAGGUGGCUGAAAGUGGCGUCCUGGAGAUGGCCCAAGCUGUGACAGAGACUCCACGCUG